rnacentral:rRNA from 1 species
GGUGAAUAUAGUAUAAGGAUCGUGCCCAGUAGCGGGGGAUAACUAUACGAAAGCGUGGAUAAUACCGCAUACGCCCUACGGGGGAAAGCGGGGGACCUUCGGGCCUCGCACUAUUGGAGCGGCCGAUAUCGGAUUAGCUAGUUGGUGGGGUAACGGCCUACCAAGGCGACGAUCCGUAGCUGGUUUGAGAGGACGACCAGCCACACUGGGACUGAGACACGGCCCAGACUCCUACGGGAGGCAGCAGUGGGGAAUUUUGGACAAUGGGGGCAACCCUGAUCCAGCCAUCCCGCGUGUGCGAUGAAGGCCUUCGGGUUGUAAAGCACUUUUGGCAGGAAAGAAACGGCACGGGCUAAUAUCCUGUGCAACUGACGGUACCUGCAGAAUAAGCACCGGGCUAACUACGUGCCAGCAGCCGCGGUAAUACGUAGGGUGCAAGCGUUAAUCGGAAUUACUGGGCGUAAAGCGUGCGCAGGCGGUUCGGAAAGAAAGAUGUGAAAUCCCAGGGCUUAACCUUGGAACUGCAUUUUUACUACCGGG